rnacentral:lncRNA from 1 species
UAUUACAUUAAGGGCCGGUUGUAUAAACACUUUGAACUGUAGUUUAUUGUUGAACUGCAGUUCAAAGUAAAAAAGUUGUUGUAUCAAUAAUAUUUAACACUGAUCUAAGUUCAAAUUCGAAGUUCAAGUGAACGCCCACUUGCCGCCGUUCAAGAAGCCGAACUUUUGUUCAAGUGAUUUUCUAACCUCACAUUCACAAGUUUUGUGCUUUGUUUAUCUCCUUCUCAUUAUUAUUGGGUUUAUAAAAAUGAAUGAAUUUAACGACGAAGUUAUUACUGAUGAUGAAGAUUUUUUGGGUCUUGUGAGUGCUGUAAUGAAUCCUAGAAUGCCACGGACAUUCAGAGAACGUCCUGAUCAUUUUACUAAAUGGACAGAUAAUGAAUUUUUACAAAGAUUUCGCUUGACGAAAAAGACAGUUGCUUACAUUAGUGAAUGAGUUUCUCCCACAAUCUCUUUCACAACCAGAAGGAAUCACGCUCUAUCGGCUUCAGAAAUGGUUCUCCUAACUUUAAGGUUUUUUGCAACAGGGUGCAUUUUGCAAGCAGAUGGAGAUUUUUCUGGUGUAGACAAAUCUACAGCAAGCAGAGUUAUUAAUAAAGUGUCCCGGGCAAUUGCACAUAUGCAUGAAACCUAUAUAUCACUACCCGAUGAAGAAAUAAAUAAUGUUCGACAGGGUUUUUUCAACAUUAGCAGAUUCCCAAGAUGUAUUGGGGAUUUGGAUUGUACCCACGUAAAAAUCCUGGUGGAGAAGAACCAGAAAAUUUUAGAAACCGAAAAGGUUAUUUUUCUUUUAAUAUACAAGCAAUAUGCGACUCACAACUAAAAAUUUGGGACAUUGUGUGCAGAUGGCCUGAGUCUGCUCAUGACGCAAAUAUAUUUAGGAACUCAAUUUGAAAAUGGUGAUUUUGUCGAAAAUUUAUUAGUGGGUGAUAGUGGAUAUGGUAACAAACCAUACCUAAUUACACCACUUUCUAACCCAACCACUCCUGUAGAACAUUUAUUCAACGAAGCACAAAUAAGAACGAGAAACCCAAUAGAGAGAUGCUUUGGUGUAUUAAAACGUCGAUUCCCAAUAUUAGCAUUAGGAAUUAAAUUAAAUGUGCAAAAAGUGGAAGCAAUAGUUGUCUCAUGUGCAGUGCUUCAUAAUAUUGCAUGCAUGUUGAGAGAUGACGUUCCCCUUGUAAAUGAAAAAGUUGAAGCGGCUCUUGAAUUAGGAAAUAUCCCUAUACCUGUGGUACAACCAGGUGUUGAGAAUAUAGCCCUUAAUAAUGUGGUUCGGCAAGCUUUGAUAACAGAGUAUUUUCAGCCUUUGUUAGAUAAUGUAGCACAUGAGUAGAACUCGAAAUUGCAAUAAAAACUUUUUUUUA